ensembl:snoRNA
GAGAAAUGAGGAGCUCACGCUUGACUGACUCUUUGUGAGGACAAAAUAAUCCAACUCUGAUCUCAUCUCUUCU